AAUCCAUGAUUGGGGCAAUUCUUGACUAAUCCUUUGAAACGCUCCCAUGCGGCGCUCAAGGUUUCAGCUUCUUCUUGCUCAAAGUUCAUGAUCUCUCUCCACCU